rnacentral:rRNA from 1 species
CUAUACAUGACUCUGCGCAUAUCAAUAAGCGGAGGAAAAGUAAAUGCUGUAUACCUACGCUUAGGAUGUUGAAGAUAUGCGCGACACGGCUCUAUACAUGACUCUGCGCAUAUCAAUAAGCGGAGGAAAAGAAACUAACAAGGAUUCCCUUAGUAACGGCGAGUGAAGCGGGAAGAGCUCAAAUUUGAAAUCUUAAAGGUUUUCCCUUGACGAAUUGUAGUUUAAAGAAGUGUUUUCUGUUGGAGUUUCGGUAAAAGUUCUUUGGAAUAGGACAUCAUAGAGGGUGAGAAUCCCGUAUUUGACCAUUACUUUCCAGCUGUGUGAUACACUUUCAAAGAGUCGGAUUGUUUGGGAAUGCAGUCCAAAAUGGGUGGUAAAUUUCAUCUAAAGCUAAAUAUUGCCGAGAGACCGAUAGCGAACAAGUACCGUGAGGGAAAGAUGAAAAGAACUUUGAAAAGAGAGUUAAACAGUACGUGAAAUUGUCAAAAGGGAAGCGUUUGACACCAGUGUUGUUUUCUCGAAAAUCAAUUACAAAUGGUUGGAUUUUGAGUAGUUAUGCCUUCAUCAGCUUUCUGCACUUUCUUUAUUAUCUUUCUUAAUGCACUUUUCGUUUAACAAGUCAACAUCAAUUUCUUUUGUUGUAAAAGAGGUCAUGAGGAAGGUGGCUUUUCUUUCGGAGAAAGUGUUUAUAGCCUUGUGCCUCUGCAAUCGGAGAGAUUGAGGUCUGCAGCGUAGAUCCUUCGGGGUUAGAUACAUUUAUGCUAAGUUAUAGCUUUUCAUAGACAACUUGUUGACUAUGUUUAGUCUUGUAGCUUACUCGCUUACGCUAUUUUACCUACGCUUAGGAUGUUGAAGAUAUGCGCGACACG